UGCUGUCGUUUGGCGCAAGUAGUCAGGUGAAAAUGACUAGUGACUACAAAGUUGUAAAGCUGCGCCUACAAUUAAUCACCGUCGGGCGCUGACAGCUCCACACACACACAAGGGCGUUUCUACAAGAAUCAAAGGUCGUUGGACAGUGGACCUAGUUUGUAUCGUGUAUUCCCCGAUCCAGGUAUAUUGUUGUUCGUCGUUUCACGUGAACGCGCCGGUAGCUGAUGUCAUUGGAACAGGUGCGCGAAACCCAAGUUGACAACAGUCGCCCUGCAUCGCGAGAGAUUACACACGGAUAAAGCGCUUGUUUGGAUCGUUUGAAGACGAUAUUUGAGAUCUACCAUAGAUUUUAAGGCAAUGAACAGCCCUUUUACCUUCGUGUGAGCUCGUGAUUCAAUUCCGUGAAUUUACGUGAUUUUUGACUGAACCAUCCAGGGAAUAUAUUUCAAGGACCGAGCAAUGCCGACUCCGAAGUUUUAAAACGUUUCUUUUUCACCAAGACGUGGGAAUUAAGUCGCUUUGCUUUACUGCUCUCUAAACGCGUUUGCAUUAGGAAAUAACCUGUUGUUAUCAUUUUU